UUUCCUGUAAUGUUGGGUAGUUUUUUCUCUUGGCUUCUGGAAAAACAGUGAGACAAAUUUCCCACAACAUUUCAUGAAUUGAAGUUUCUAUCACUCAGAAGUACAAGUACAAAAAACUGAUACCACAGUAAUCAUGAUGUUUCACCAGUCAUGCAAAUCCCAAACAUAAACUAAAUUGUAGCAUUAUGACCAUGUACUGAACAAGAAGUAAAACUUGUAUGCUGAUAAAUUUUGCCAGUCCCUCACGAAGGUUAAUCCAAGAAACCUGCACUGUCCUUCCAUCUCUCUGCGCACCAAUAUGCUUAAGAUCAUUUGCGAUUCCCUCAACCGUUGGAAUCGCAACACCUUGAACACGUAAAAAG
rnacentral:lncRNA from 1 species